UCGAGAAUCUUCCGCAAUGGGCGAAAGCCUGACGGAGCGACGCCGCGUGGUUGAUGAAAUCCUUCGGGAUGUAAAAACCUUUUAUGAGGGAGAAAGUAAUUGAUAGUACCUCAUGAAUAAGGGGUUGCUAAACUCGUGCCAGCAGCAGCGGUAAUACGAGUGCCCCAAGCGUUAUCCGGAAUUAUUGGGCGUAAAGGGUGUGUAGGUGGUUUUAUUAGUCUCUUGUUAAAUUCUUCGGCUUAACCGGGGGUCUGCAAGAGAAACGGUAAGACUAGAGGAUGUGAGAGGUGUGCGGAACUCAUGGUGUAGGGGUGAAAUCCGUUGAUAUCAUGGGGAACACCAAAAGCGAAGGCAGCACACUGGCACAUUCCUGACACUGAGACACGAAAGCGUGGGUAGCGAAUGGGAUUAGAUACCCCCGUAGUCC
rnacentral:rRNA from 1 species